rnacentral:rRNA from 1 species
AACGCGAAGAACCUUACCAGGCCUUGACAUGCAGAGAACUUUCCAGAGAUGGAUUGGUGCCUUCGGGAACUCUGACACAGGUGCUGCAUGGCUGCCGUCAGCUCGUGUCGUGAGAUGUUGGGUUAAGUCCCGUAACGAGCGCACCCCUUGUCCUUAGUUACCAGCACGUUAAGGUGGGCACUCUAAGGAGACUGCCGGUGACAAACCGGAGGAAGAUGGGGAUGACGUCAAGUCAUCAUGGCCCUUACGGCCUGGGCUACACACGUGCUACAAUAGUCGGUACAAAGGGUUGCCAAGCCGCGAGGUGGAGCUAAUCCCAUAAAACCGAUGUAGUCCGGAUCGCAGUCUGCAACUCGAUUGCGUGAAGUCGGAAUCGCCAGUAAUCGAAUCAGAA